rnacentral:rRNA from 1 species
UGGGGAAUUUUGGACAAUGGGCGCAAGCCUGAUCCAGCCAUGCCGCGUGUCUGAAGAAGGCCUUCGGGUUGUAAAGGACUUUUGUCAGGGAAGAAAAGGAUAGGGUUAAUACCCCUGUCUGAUGACGGUACCUGAAGAAUAAGCACCGGCUAACUACGUGCCAGCAGCCGCGGUAAUACGUAGGGUGCGAGCGUUAAUCGGAAUUACUGGGCGUAAAGCGGGCGCAGACGGUUACUUAAGCAGGAUGUGAAAUCCCCGGGCUCAACCUGGGAACUGCGUUCUGAACUGGGUGACUAGAGUGUGUCAGAGGGAGGUAGAAUUCCACGUGUAGCAGUGAAAUGCGUAGAGAUGUGGAGGAAUACCGAUGGCGAAGGCAGCCUCCUGGGAUAACACUGACGUUCAUGCCCGAAAGCGUGGGUAGCAAACAGGAUUAGAUACCCUGGUAGUCCACGCCCUAAACGAUGUCGAUUAGCUGUUGGGCAGCUUGACUGCUUAGUAGCGAAGCUAACGUGUGAAAUCGACCGCCUGGGGAGUACGGUCGCAAGAUUA